rnacentral:rRNA from 1 species
AUACGGAGGGUGCAAGCGUUAAUCGGAAUUACUGGGCGUAAAGCGCACGUAGGCUGUUGUGUAAGUCAGGGGUGAAAUCCCACGGCUCAACCGUGGAACUGCCUUUGAUACUGCACGACUUGAAUCCGGGAGAGGGUGGCGGAAUUCCAGGUGUAGGAGUGAAAUCCGUAGAUAUCUGAAGGAACACCAGUGGCGAAGGCGGCCACCUGGACCGGUAUUGACGCUGAGGUGCGAAAGCGUGGGGAGCAAACAGGAUUAGAUCCCCUGGUAGUCCACGCCGUAAACGAUGGAUGCUAGAUGUCGGGGGGUUGCCCUCGGUGUCGUAGUUAACGCGUUAAGCAUCCCGCCUGGGGAGUACGGUCGCAAGGCUGAAACUCAAAUGAAUUGACGGGG